rnacentral:rRNA from 1 species
GACUCUCGGCAACGGAUAUCUCGGCUCUCGCAUCAAUGAAGAACGUAGCAAAAUGCGAUACCUGAUGUGAAUUGCAGAAUCCCGCGAACCAUCGAGUUUUUUGAACGCAAGUUGGGCCCGAGGCCUUCCGACCGAGGGCACGUCUGCCUGGGCGUCA